rnacentral:snRNA from 21 species
AUACUUACCUUGAGACGUUGCAGGAGAUCAAGUAGUCUUGCAACCAGAGGGCUAAGCAUGCAUUGCACAGCGCAGCUAGGCUCUGUGCCAACUUUCUCCAAUGAGGAAGUGUGGGUCUUUCAAUUUUUGAUUUCC